GGAACCCUUCAUCAGGAUAAGUACAGAGCGGCCCUGGAAAUUGCCGGUUCCCUUGGCCCGCGGGGCCUGCGGCGCCCCGAGUCUGGGGGCCCGCGGCGGGGGUCAGGGCAGCUCGCGGUCCCCGCUGGGCUGAGAGCCAGACCGCCCCCGACUCCAAGGACCAGUGCGUCUCUCAGGGAGCUGAUGCUCAGAUUUCUGACUGGUCAAGGUCAACGGGCGAUUGAUUGUUCAUGCCUUCUGCCAAAAUGACCGUGGGACCCAGCAGGGACACAGGCCAGGCCUUGAGUCCAGCUUUGAGGUUGGCAAAUUGAACACAAUACUUGGCUGUACCUUCAGCCCUAGACCCGGCUUCAGACUCCGGCUCCGCGAUUCAUCAGCCUUGUGACCUUGCACAAAUCAUUUGCCUUUAUGAAAUAAGUCUCACAUCUGACUGGUGGGCAGGAGAGUGAUGCUUAGGCAAAGCGAUCCUUGAGCUCUGCGAUCCUUGCGCUUAGUGAGGCAGUACUGCCUGUUGUAGGCUGGAACUCAGGCAUGCUUGAUGUGGAAUGGCUGCCCAGUGACCGCGCACACCUUCCUUCCCAGCACUUGGGACACCCAGGCAGGUGGAUCUCUGUAAUUUCAAGGUCAGCCCCCUUCUACUGAGCCAAUUCCAUGACAGCCUGGGCUACAGGGAGAAACACUGUCUCCAAACACACAGACAAGCAACAACAAUGCAAACAAUCAAACAAAUAAAAUUUAAAAAAUU
rnacentral:lncRNA from 1 species